rnacentral:tRNA from 1 species
CAAAAAAUAUUUUAAAUAAAAUAUUAAUUUUGGAAAUUAAUAAUAUAACAUUUUAAUGUUAUUUUUUUGA